CGGGGUGCAGCAGGCGCGAAAACUUUACAAUGCGGGAAACCGUGAUAAGGGGACACCGAGUGCCAGCAUCAUAUGCUGGCUGUCCAGGUGUGUAAAAUACACCUGUUAGCAAGGGCCGGGCAAGACCGGUGCCAGCCGCCGCGGUAACACCGGCGGCCCGAGUGGUGAUCGUGAUUAUUGGGUCUAAAGGGUCCGUAGCCGGUUUGGUCAGUCCUCCGGGAAAUCUGACAGCUUAACUAUUAGGCUUUCGGAGGAUACUGCCAGACUUGGAACCGGGAGAGGUAAGAGGUACUACAGGGGUAGGAGUGAAAUCUUGUAAUCCCUGUGGGACCACCUGUGGCGAAGGCGUCUUACCAGAACGGGUUCGACGGUGAGGGACGAAAGCUGGGGGCACGAACCGGAUUAGAUACCCGGGUAGUCCCAGCCGUAAACGAUGCUCGCUAGGUGUCAGGCAUGGCGCGACCGUGUCUGGUGCCGCAGGGAAGCCGUGAAGCGAGCCACCUGGGAAGUACGGCCGCAAGGCUGAAACUUAAAGGAAUUGGCGGGGGAGCACAAGGGCGAAUUCGCGGC
rnacentral:rRNA from 1 species